rnacentral:rRNA from 1 species
UACGUAGGUGGCAAGCGUUGUCCGGAUUUACUGGGCGUAAAGCGUGCGCAGGCGGCGCGUUUAAGACAGGUGUGAAAGCCCCCGAGCUUAACUUGGGAAUUGCGCUUGUGACUGGCGAGCUGGAGUGUGGCAGAGGGAGGUGGAAUUCCACGUGUAGCAGUGAAAUGCGUAGAGAUGUGGAGGAACACCGAUGGCGAAGGCAGCCUCCUGGGCCAGCACUGACGCUCAUGCACGAAAGCGUGGGGAGCAAACAGG